UAGAGUUUGAUCAUGGCUCAGAACGAACGCUGGCGGCAGGCCUGACACAUGCAAGUCGAGCGCGCCUUCGGGUGAGCGGCGGACGGGUUAGUAACGCGUGGGAACGUGCCCUUUUCUACGGAAUAGCCUCUGGAAACGGAGAGUAAUACCGUAUACGCCCUUUGGGGGAAAGAUUUAUCGGAGAAGGAUCGGCCCGCGUUAGAUUAGGUAGUUGGUGGGGUAACGGCCUACCAAGCCUACGAUCUAUAGCUGGUUUUAGAGGAUGAUCAGCAACACUGGGACUGAGACACGGCCCAGACUCCUACGGGAGGCAGCAGUGGGGAAUCUUAGACAAUGGGGGCAACCCUGAUCUAGCCAUGCCGCGUGAGUGAUGAAGGCCUUAGGGUCGUAAAGCUCUUUCGCCUGUGAUGAUAAUGACAGUAGCAGGUAAAGAAACCCCGGCUAACUCCGUGCCAGCAGCCGCGGUAAUACGGAGGGGGUUAGCGUUGUUCGGAAUUACUGGGCGUAAAGCGCGCGUAGGCGGAUUAGAAAGUUGGGGGUGAAAUCCCGGGGCUCAACCUCGGAACUGCCUCCAAAACUGCUAGUCUAGAGUUCGAGAGAGGUGAGUGGAAUUCCGAGUGUAGAGGUGAAAUUCGUAGAUAUUCGGAGGAACACCAGUGGCGAAAGCGGCUCACUGGCUCGAUACUGACGCUGA
rnacentral:rRNA from 1 species